UGCAACAACUUUGCCACAAAUGGAGCCA
rnacentral:piRNA from 1 species